ensembl:lncRNA
AUAUUACUUAUUUAUUGUGGUUGCAAGCUUUUGGGAUUCUAUUUGGGUUUUGCUUGAGUAUGUCUGAGGUUUCCCUGCUAUGUGGACAAAGGCGGAUAAUUUUUGUUCGUGUAUGUGUGUGUGUGGUUGGCAUGGUCUUUUCUCUCUCAUCUGGUCUCCAUUACGACUGGGAGUAUAAAACUACUGCACUGAGAGAGAGCUCCACAGAGCCGACUUAACACACUAACCCCACAAGCUAACACACUCGUGCAGCUUUUGCUAUGGUGCUGUGGGUCUUUUUGCUCUUUCUGCAGGGAUGUCUGCUCACACAUGCUCUGGACUGCAGGGGCAGGAGUGUGGACUGUGUCAGUACACAGGCUACAGAGGUCAAGGUUAAAGAUGAGUCCUUGUCUUCUCUGGUGAGUCUGUCACUUUUGAUCAAUUUUAAAGUAUGAAUUCUUUUAAAAACAGUACAAAAAAAUCUGAGCUGAAAAGUAUGCAGAUUACGUAUGGAUCUGAACUGCAAAUCGACCAAUAUCUAUUUCUCUUUUUUCAGAUGAGCGCUCAAAGACAAGCUCAACUCACUCAGCAGCCUGGAUCUUAUUCAGUCAAAGGAUCUCCUAACACACUCAUCCAAACUGACAGGUCGAGGCGACAUUUGACUGCUAGUAAAAAAAAGCCCCACAGAUCUCGCAUCGGCUCUUACUCACUUCUUUCCCAUAACCACGCAACCAACCAACUGCAGGUCGUAAGUGCUCAUAGACACUUUGAGGAUGUGUCCCAUCCCAAAUUGACUGCAUUAAAGUCUGUGAAGAACAGAUCCAGAAGAAGUGCACCCAAGAGAAAGAAGAACGCAAGGAAUAACACAUGCUCAUGA